UACGGGGGGGUAAGCGUUGUUCGGAAUUACUGGGCGUAAAGGGCUCGUAGGCGGCCAACUAAGUCAUACGUGAAAUCCCUCAGCUUAACUGGGGAACUGCGUGUGAUACUGGAUGGCUUGGAUUUGGGAGAGGAUGCGGAAUUCCAGGUGUAGCGGUGGAAAUGCGUAGAUAUCUGGAGGAACACCGGUGGCGAAGGCGGCAUCCUGGAC
rnacentral:rRNA from 1 species